rnacentral:rRNA from 1 species
UACGUAGGUGGCAAGCGUUGUCCGGAAUCACUGGGCGUAAAGCGCGCGCAGGCGGCGAUCUACGUCUGAGGUGAAAGCCCGGAGCUCAACUCCGGGACUGCCUUGGAUACGGGAUCGCUUGAGGAUUGGAGAGGCAAGGGGAAUUCCACGUGUAGCGGUGAAAUGCGUAGAUAUGUGGAGGAACACCUGUGGCGAAGGCGCCUUGCUGGCCAAUUUCUGACGCUGAGGCGCGAAAGCGUGGGGAGCAAACAGG